CGCCUGGGGGGUGUCACAGCCCACGACCAGUGCAACAGAGAGCAAACCGCCGAUGGCCCGCGCAAGCGGGAUCAGGUAAGGGUGAAAGGGUGCGGUAAGAGCGCACCGCGCGGCUGGUAACAGUCCGCGGCACGGUAAACUCCACCCGGAGCAAGGCCAAAUAGGGGUUCAUAAGGUACGGCCCGUACUGAACCCGGGUAGGCUGCUUGAGCCAGUGAGCGAUUGCUGGCCUAGAUGAAUGACUGUCCACGACAGAACCCGGCUUAUCGGUCAGUUUCACCU
rnacentral:RNase_P_RNA from 1 species